rnacentral:lncRNA from 1 species
ACUCUCCCCAAACCUCUCUCGCACGCGGGGACUGAGCACGGCCCGAAAAGCCGAGGACAGCCGGACUCACCCUGUAGUUAUAGUAGUGCGUCUGCACAAGAUGCCGGUGGCGCGACUUGUGGUUGCCGAAGUUGGAUUUCUCGCAAACCAGUAAGUGCCGCGGCGCCUCCCGAAGCCGGCGCAGCGUGGCCAUGCUCUCCUGGGUUCCUGGUCCUCCCGGCCUCCGCUGGCGGGGCACGCCCCGCCCCUUCCUCCCGCCCCGCCCCUUCCCUCCGGCCGCAUACCCGCUGCUGUGCGCCCCUGGCGGCGGUGGAGUGGGGAUGGCGGCGCUGGAUUUCUGAGCAGUUCUUAGACUUCUUAGGAGCCCACGCAGCCGCUCUUUGGUGGAUGUCUGAAGCUGUAAAUUCACUGUCCCAGUGGCUGGGAACCUGGCUCUUGCCUUUUCAACGCCACUUUUCCUCCGUCCCCGCCAUCCCUUGGAAUUGCCCUAAACCCUCUCUGUGGGCCCCGCCUCGGAGCGCCCCUUGGACCCCAGCCUGGCGCCGGCGCAUACCUCGGUCAGGCCCCUCAGAGGGACCGCUUCCUGCCACCGUUAUAAAAGGAAAACAUCGCAUGGAAAGGCCCAGUUCCUUUAGUAUAUGGUCAAGAAAUGUAGCCGCACAGUUAAGUAACCCCCUAAGCUGCUUUGGGGGCCACACCCAGCUGCUUUCUGACUUCUCACACUGUUUGGUUCACAGGACUCUGUUACCCAUUGGGGACCUCUUGGCCAUUAUUAACACAGGCCAACAGGACUAAAAGUUUGUAUCAGUCCUUCCCAAAACAUUAGGGAAGGUUGUGCGGGAAGGUAAAGCACAAUUUUUGCCUUACAAUAGGACUCCUUUGAAACUACUAUUGAGUUCCCUUUUAAAUAGCCCUUCAGAACCGCUUUUAAUAAUGUGUUGUUUCUGGGGGUUAAUAGUGAUAAUUCUCCUAAGUCAUUUUUCCAUUUCGUUUUUCUGUCACGGGCUUGGAGCGGUUAAGAGACUGCGGCUCCCAGCAUGCGGUACGUUACUGAUCAGGGCAAAAUCAAGUAUGUUACUACAUGCUUCUCAAACUAGAGAGGCACAGCCCCAAUUCUGCACUGGCAGGAUACAAAACAGCAGAAUAUUGGUGAUACAUCUUCCUGGAACAUCAGUUUUUCUAUGAGAUGUGGAAGAAAUGGAAUUAAGUAGUUUACAAGGUAAAUAAUUAAGAAUUUAAAACUAAGCCAGUCACAGUGGGUCAUGCCUGUAAUCCCAGCACUUUGGGAGGCUGAGGUGGGAGGAUCACUUGAGCUUAGGAGUUCAAGACCAGCCUGGGCAAUAUAGUGAGACCCCAUCUCCAAAAAUAAAAAUAAAACUAAGACAAGGCUGGAAAGUCAUCUGCCAUUAUAAACAUCAGUAAUCUGGCCGAGCACAGUGGCUCACGCCUGUAGUCCCAGCACUUUGGGAGGCUGAGGUGGGAGGAUCACUUGAACUCAGAAGUUCACGACCACCCUGGACAAUAUAGUAAGACCCCAUCUCAAAAAAAAAAAUUAAAACUAAGACAAGGCCGGAAAGUCAUCUGCCACUAAAAACAUCGGUAAUCUGGCUGAGUGCUGUGGCUCACGCCUGUAGUCCCAGCAAUUUGGGAGGCCGAGGCGAGCAGAUCGCCUGAGGUCAGGAGUUCAAGACCACCCUGGCCAACAUGGUGAAACGCUUUCUACUAAAAAUACAAAAAUUAACAGGGUGUGGUGGCGCAUGCCUGUAAUCCCAGCUACUCAAGAGGCUGAGGCAGAAGAAUCACUCGAACCUGGGAGGCAGAGGUUGCAGUGAGUCAAGAUCUCGCCACUGCACUUCUAGGCUGGGCGACAGAGUGAGACUCUGUCUCAAAAAAAAAAAAAAAGUCAAAAUGUAAUCUAUGACUGAAAUGUCACAUUUUCUUUCCAAGGAAAAACCUAAUGAGAACCUGUUUCCCAUUAUUUUAAACAGCAGAAUUAUAAGGCGUGGCAAGUUAAUUAAAAAAAACCCUACUAAUUUCCUAGAUCACAAUAUGGCAGCUAGAUGUUUUAUAAAUAACAGCUACUAAUAACAUGUUAAGAUGUAAAAGGCUUAAAGCAUUGCUUCUUGGUCACCUCAUAUUUAAUGUAAUUGUCACCAGACAGUUGCUUUGUGUGUGGUAGCAGUGGCCCAAGACUGAAACAUCACGGAUGUACCUCUCCUUUGUCGACAUUCCAAAACUCCACAAAGUGACUGGUGUGAUCCUGAUGGUCUACCAAUUGUAUUUGGAAGCACCGUGAAGCUUUUCCAGCAAACCAUUUAGUUUAAAAUGUUGCAUAUUUUGAAGAUGCAAAAUAAAUUCUAUCUAUGUAAAUAUCAGCUGAAAAAUGUAUUGAGAGAUAUAAACUGCCCUCUUCUCAAGAGAGACCCCACAGAGUCUUGCAGCUUUAAGUCCUCCUCUCUGGCUGCUGAUAACCCCUAGAUGUGGCGCCUCUUCCCUGAGCGGAGUAUCCAGAUGACUCUAGUACAAGGACUCACCCCUGACUUCUUCCCUUCUCACCCGCCAUGCAAUCCCACAGUAAGUCUUGUGGCCCUGCCUGCAGCACGCAUCCUGAUUGCAGCCUCUUCUUGCUCUCUGCGUUUCUACAGCCAGUUUCAGCCACCUUCGUCACUUACUGGCCUGCUGCCCAAGACUGCCUCCAAACCUUCUCCUUGCUGCCUCUCUUGCCCUCCCACAGUCCAUUCUCCACUCAGCAUCCAGAGUGAUCUCUUAAAAACAUGAAAAACAUAAUAUACCCCCACAGCCCCAUUUAGACCCUACCACUGGCUUCUCACUGUGAUGGAAUAAAAGCUUACACAUUGGCCUGAGCCUGCCUCUUCAGCCUCAUCUCCUUCCCUUGCUUAUUCACACUCUGUCUGUCAGAUUUUCUGGUCUCUAGAGCUGAAAGCAGUCUUAACUGACAAACAGAUAUUAGAUCAUAGAAUCUAGAGCACAGGGUAUGGAAGGAAAAGUGCAAGAUGGAAAAGCCAGAAAUGGUUAAAAAAAAAAAAAAGCACAUGAAACAAAACAUAUCUAUAUGUAUACCCAAAAUAGUAACAUAAUUUUGAAAAAUCUGAGCUAAUAGACUUGCAAAGAAAUAGAAAUAUCUUUGAUCAUAUUCUGAAAACAAAAAAAUAUAGACUUAGUAAAUAUAAAAGGACAAAAAUUUUACACAUCCCAUUUCCGGGCCAUAAUGCAAUAAAGUUAGAAAGAACAGAAACAGAAUUGGCCGGGUGCUGUGGCUCAUGCCUGUAAUCCCAGCACUUUGGGAAGCCAAAGCGGGUGGAUCACGAGGUCAAGAGAUCGAGACCAUCCUGGCCAACAUGGUGAAACCCUGUCUCUACUAAAAAUACAAAAACUAGCUGGGUGUGGUGGCAUGCGCCUGUAGUCCCAGCUACUUGGGAGGCUGAGGCAGGAGAAUCACUUGAACCCGGGAGGUGGAGGUUACAGUGAGCCAAGAUCUUGCCACUGCACUCCAGCCUGGCAACAGAGUGAGACUCUGUCUCAAAAAAACAAACAAAAACAACAACAAAAAAAAAAAACAGAGAAAGAAACAAUUUAAAGAUGCUCAACUCUUUGACAAUGUUAAAAUAUUCUUUUAAAUAAAUUAAUGCCUGGGUCAGGGUGCAAAUCCAAAACACAAUGACAGUGUCCAUAAACUUCUGUGCUUGUAAAUGUAUCAUAACCAUAUACAGGCCGUAUUGGUGAAAGGAGACAGCUGUCUGACUCAGAAACACAGGGAGUGAUCAGGUUAUGUUCAUUAGGAUCCUAGCACUGCCCUGGAGUUGUUUAACAUCAUCUCUUUACAGUUAGGAGCAGACUGCAGGGAAAUGUAUCUAUUGCAGACAACUGUGCUAAAUCAGAGGCCGCCCUCCUGCUGAACCUGAACUUGACCUCACAGUUCCUGUCAGCACAGGGUUCUAGGCAGCUGCUACAAAUCAACUGGUGUUGGCUUACAGAUUGAAACUGCCCUCAGACAGCAGAGUGGAAACUGGCACCAAUGGCUGCAAUGGAGAAAAUUAAUGGCCUGUGGGCCACACACGGUGGCUCAUGCCUGUAGUCCCAGCACUUUGGGAGGCCAAAGCGGGUGGAUCACUUGAGGUCAGGAGUUCGAGACCAGUCUGGCCAACAUGGUGAAACUCUGUCUCUACGAAAAAUACAAAAGUUAACCGGGUGUGGUGGCGCAUGCCUGUA